GACGAACGCUGGCGGCGUGCUUAACACAUGCAAGUCGAACGGAAAGGCCCUGCUUGCAGGGUACUCGAGUGGCGAACGGGUGAGUAACACGUGGGUGAUCUGCCCUGCACUUCGGGAUAAGCUUGGGAAACUGGGUCUAAUACCGGAUAGGACCGCACUUUAGUGUGUGUGGUGGAAAGUUUUUUCGGUGUAGGAUGAGCUCGCGGCCUAUCAGCUUGUUGGUGGGGUAAUGGCCUACCAAGGCGGCGACGGGUAGCCGGCCGGGGAGGGUGUACGGCCACAUUGGGGCUGGGAGACGGCCCAGACUCCGACGGGAGGGAGCAGUGGGGAAUAGUGCACAAUGGGGGCAAGCCUGAUGCAGCGAGGCCGCGGGGGGGAUGAAGGGCGUCGGGUUGGAAACGGCGUGCGCUAGGGGCGAGGCUGUUUGUGACGGUACGUGGAUAAGAAGCACCGGCUAACUACGUG
rnacentral:rRNA from 1 species